rnacentral:rRNA from 1 species
GACGAACGCUGGCGGCGUGCCUAAUACAUGCAAGUCGAGCGGGCUGAUGAAAGAGCUUGCUUUUUCAUCAGUUAGCGGCGGACGGGUGAGUAACACGUGGGCAACCUGCCUCAUAGAUGGGGAUAACAUCGAGAAAUCGGUGCUAAUACCGAAUAACAAUUUGCUUUGCAUGAAGCGGAUUUGAAAGUUGGUUUUAAGCUAACACUAUGAGAUGGGCCCGCGGCGCAUUAGCUAGUAGGUGAGGUGAAGGCUCACCUAGGCGACGAUGCGUAGCCGACCUGAGAGGGUGAUCGGCCACACUGGGACUGAGACACGGCCCAGACUCCUACGGGAGGCAGCAGUAGGGAAUCUUCGGCAAUGGACGGAAGUCUGACCGAGCAACGCCGCGUGAGUGAGGAAGGUUUUCGGAUCGUAAAGCUCUGUUGUCAGGGAAGAACAAGUAUGAGAGUAACUGCUCGUACCUUGACGGUA